UGAGGAAUAUUGGUCAAUGGGCGAGAGCCUGAACCAGCCAAGUCGCGUGAAGGAAGAAGGUUCUAUGGAUUGUAAACUUCUUUUGUAAGGGAAUAAAAAGAGUUACGUGUAACUUAUUGUAUGUACUUUACGAAUAAGGAUCGGCUAACUCCGUGCCAGCAGCCGCGGUCAUACGGAGGAUCCAAGCGUUAUCCGGAUUGAUUGGGUUUAAAGGGUGCGUAGGCGGGCCCUUAAGUCAGUGGUGAAAGUUUGCAGCUUAACUGUAAAAUUGCCAUUGAAACUGAGGGGCUUGAGUGUAAAUAAGGUAGGCGGAAUGUGUGGUGUAGCGGUGAAAUGCUUAGAUAUAACACAGAACACCAACUGCGAAGGCAGCUUACUGGGAUACAACUGACGCUGAGGCACGAAAGCGUGGGGAUCAAACA
rnacentral:rRNA from 1 species